AACGACCGCGCUCGCUUCCGGGCGGUGUGCCGCUCGUGGCGCUCGGCCCUGCGCCACCACGGCCACCACGCACGGCAGCUGAUCGUCCUGCCCGAAGGCAGCUUCAUGACCCCGUCGGACGGCCGCUCGUACCCCCUGCCUUCCUUCCCCGACAACGCAACCUGCAUCGGAUCCACCGACGACUGGAUCGCCCUCCGCCAAGACGACAUCGAUGGACGCCACCGCUUUCUCCUGCAUAAUCCUUUCUCAAAAGCAAGUGUUCCGCUCACACUUGACACGAUCAUCGGCAAGGCUACCACAGUCCAGAAGGUGCUCGUGCGGUCUAUCUCGGAUGGUGACCUGGUCGUGGCCAUCAUGACCAACAAUAUUAAGCACCCGUUGAUCUUGAGCCAUGGAGGGAAGAACAUCUGUAGCUUUACCGAUUCAUGGGUUUAUAACUUCGUUGUCGACAUUGCUUUUCUCGAACAUAAACUCUACGCCAUCACCCCGGACGAGAACCUCUUAACGAUUCAUGUCGGUGAGGUCACGGCUUCUGAUGAUAACCGUGUCAUACAGGGACAACCGGAUUUUUUCAUCUACAAUGCACAGAGCGCGUCUGAGAAUGAGGAGGAUUUUGCGGGAACAUCAGAUGAGAAGGCAGCGUGGACAUCUGAUGAGGACGUUCAUGAAGAUGAUGGCCAUGAUUAUUACUGUGAUGGCCCUAAUGAUGAUAGUGGUGAUGAUUAUUGUUAUGAUGAUGCUGAUGUGGAGGAACCAUGUGAAAAGGAUGUCAACAUUGUCCGCUACCUUGUCGAGUCGUGCGGGAAGUUGCUCAUGGUGAGACAGCAUGUGCAGUUAAUAGCACCUCCUGGUUUGUCCACACACCUCACUUGUCGAGCAGAGGUUUUUGAGAUGGGUGCAAAUGCAUGGGUUCCGAUGACCAAUGGAUUAGGUGGCGGCCAAGCACUCUUCGUCAGCAUGUGUUUCUCAAAGUCUGUUUCGGCACCCCAUGGCGAGGUCGAG
rnacentral:rRNA from 1 species